rnacentral:tRNA from 1 species
GGCCCAAUGGUCUAGUAGUAUGAUACGUGCUUCGGGUUGUUCAAACUCGGUGGUUCAGCCACUUCAAUUGCACGGGGUCCCGGGUUCAAUUCCCGGUUGGGCCC